rnacentral:rRNA from 1 species
UACGGAAUGUGCAAACGUUAUUCGGAAUCACUGGGCUUAAAGAGUCCGUAGGCGGCAUGUUAGGUGAGGUGUGAAAUCCCCCGGCUCAACCGAGGAAUUGCGCUUCAUACCGGCGUGCUAGAGGAAGAUAGAGGUGGGCGGAACUGAUGGUGGAGCGGUGAAAUGCGUUGAUAUCAUCAGGAACACCGGAGGCGAAGGCGGCCCACUGGGCCUUUUCUGACGCUGAGGGACGAAAGCUAGGGGAGCGAACGGG